rnacentral:lncRNA from 1 species
UUGCACUGAAGAAUCCGACUUGAUUGCUAUAUGAGGAAUUUUUGCAUCAAUCGUAUAAAAGAUAAAAACUAUACAUCCGACUUGUGUGUCUUCAAAGAUACCCUACAACUCUAAAAUGUGUUUCCACACCCCGUCUUACACAAUAUUUUAUAUUCAGUGCUUGUUUGGUAGAGAUUUUAAUAACUGAUUUUUUGACCGUUAGAGAUAAAAUGGAUCCUACUUAUGAGAAAAGAAUUCAAAAAUAACAGCUGAAAUAGUGAAAUAAUGAUCAAAAAAUUGAUUUUAAUUGGUUUAAAAUCUGUACCAAACAAGCUCUCAAUAUGGACCUUUGCAUUAGUAAUUGAACAUUAAUAUUCAUUUCUAAUUCUAAUAUCAAUCAUAUAAAAAAAUAUAUAUUUAUUUCGCUUUCGAAUAGAUCAGAUGUUUCAGUAUACGUUACCGUGGGGGUGCCAAUAUCUUUCAAUAGACGUUACUGUGUGGGGUGCCAAUGUUAUGCACAAAACAAACAUCCUUGUCACACUUUUGAAAAGCACUCCAAAAUAUUUGUCAUAUUCGUAAUAUAUUCUUGUUCAAGUUUCAAUUGUCAGCUAUAUAUAUUUUAUGCAAAUACAGGACAAUUAUUUUUAGCAGUGUUUUGUAACUUAAGACUAAACAACUUCCCAUAUUAUUCCUAGUAAAUGUUUC